UGCUUAUUGAAUAAAAUAAUAAGUAAGCCCUGCCCAAUGAUAAUUUAAAUGGCCGCGGUAUCCUAACCGUGCUAAGGUAGCAUAAUCACUUGUCUAUUAAUUGUAGACUAGCAUGAACGGGUAAACAAAAUAAUAGCUGUUUCAUUGUAUUCAAUAAAAAUUAACCUAUAAGUGAAGAUGCUUAUAUAUAAUUAAAGGACAAGAAGACCCUAUAGAGCUUUAAUUAAAAUCUUAUAAAAUAAAAUUUUAAUAUUGGUUGGGGCGACCAAGGACAAAUCAUCCUUUAAAUAAAAGAUCAAUUAAUCGAUUCAAAGAGCUUACAUACUAAACUCUCAAACCAAGUUACCUUAGGGAUAACAGGCUAAUCUUAUUCAAGAGUUCCUAUCUCAAAUAAGGAUUGGCACCUCGAUGUUGGCUUAGAUUAACUUCAUGAUGCAGCAAUCAACGAAGUAAGGUUUGUUCAACCUAUAAAAAUCU
rnacentral:rRNA from 1 species